AAUGUAAAAUAAAUGAUAUUCAUCACCAUUUAAAUAUGUCCGUAAUUAUUUAUAUUAAUUAGAAUUAUUAUGAUUACAUGAAAUAAAAAUCAUGAAGAUUAGGAACCGGAGAAAAAUAAAAGUCCAUUCACCACACACACUAAUAUUACUAAACAAAUCUACAUUAAAUAGCACUAUUAUUAUUAUUAAAUGAAAUACAAAUGUGAAACAGCUGGUGGCUUGGCGUGAAGAUAGAGAAUGCAUAUUAAGCUAUAUAGAACGGUAUAUAGUGUAUCACACUAGCAAAAUAAACAAAUUUCAAAAGGCACAAGUAGCAAGAAGCAGAUUUCACACAUCAGAAAUUACUCACAAACAAAACACUAACCACACAUCAAGCAUCAAGAUGGUCUCAACCAAAACUCAAUCACAUAUAACACAACAAAAUUUCACUCUUCAAUAAUAUACCGCUUUAAACAGGACAACAAACAUAAAAGAAUGAGAAAAUAUCUUCUUCCGAUGCGCGGUGGUGUGCGGAUGUACUAGGUUCUCUCGUCCGGUUGUUGUUACAAUGGACUUUAAGGUUAUGGGUUGAUGGGAAAGAAUAUGAUGAUAGAUCUUUCUUCUGUUUGUUAUUCUUUGUGGCAAAAACGAAGAAUGAUUGUGUUCACUGUAUAAACUUAAGUUCUUGAUCAAACAAACUCAUACAAUUAAGGAAAAAGGGGGUUGGUCUUUUUGGUUGAGUAUAUCUAUUGAGUUCAAUUCUAACCAUUGAACAUAAAACUGAAACUUAGAAUUUUUCUAAGUGUUUUUGGAAUUCAAUUUUAGAUGAAAUAGAAUGCAUUAGAUCCAGAAGUGUGAACACUAGAUGAAUGGUUUCUUGACUAGAAACAAGAACAUCAUAAUCUUGUUUUCUUGAUUAAAAGCAAGAGAAAAACGUUUACUGGACCAGAUGCAGGAACACCAUAUACCUGAUUAUUGGACUAGAGGCAAUAGAAAUCAGAGGCGCGAUUGCUGGACCAAAGGCACAAUUAUUAGAACAAAAGGCAAGAGCAAUUAGAGCAUGAUUUAUUGAUCAGAUGCAGGAACACCAGAGACAUGAUUUUUUGACCACAUGCAAUGACCAAAAGCAAUAUUAAUUGACCAGAGGCAGAAUUACUAUACCAGAAGCAAUAACCAAAGCCAGGUUUACUAGACCAGAGGCAACAACAAGAAACAAAGGUAAAUGACCAAAGGCAGACUAUCAGCGACACUGACUAUGUUAGAGUUAAAUUUAACCAGAGGCGUUGACUUUUUCCAAUGUAGACUUUUUUGCCAUAUGUGUUUAUGUUUUCCAAAAGUUGACUUUUUAUUGGAUGUUUACUUUUUCCUAGACGUUGACUUUAACCAUAACAUUGACUUUUUUGGAAGUUGGCUUUUGUCAUAAUAUUGACUUUCACCAGAGACAUCUUAUCAGAGGCAAGAAGUUCAAAUGAAAUCUCUAGAGACAAAUUAUCAGAGGCAACUGGUCAGAGGUAGUUUUGACCAAAAGCUUGAUUGCUUCACCAAAGGCAAACUAUCCCAAAGUCUGUUUUGCUUCAUCAAAGGCAGAAUUUCCCAAAGAUUCUUCACCAGAGGCAGCCUUUCCCAAAGUAUGUUUUACUGCAUCAAAGGUAAACUUCAACAAAUGCACUGAGAGCAUAAUUGAAUCAGAAUCAGAUGUAGUCUUGGCAAACCUUCUUGUACCACCAAAUGCAGAGGUAGUCUAAUGUUUUGUAUCAUCAGAUACAGUGUUUCAGAUGCGCUUUUUCAUCAGUUUUGAAUGCAAAAUUUUCAUGACUUUUUGACUAAAUCAUCAGAGGAUAUAUCCUAAUAUCCUACAACGUUGCUUGUGGUCUAGGAACUGCACACUUAAAUAAAAUAUUAGUGCCUAAAAUUAUUCCUACUAACUAAUUUUGUUAUCAUCAAAACUAGUAGGAUCUUUUGUACUUGAAACCAA